UCAAGAAGAGGUGCAAAGGCAAAAUGGUAUUAUGAUGUCAGAACCUGAACCAGAUAGGAGCCGCAUGCCUCAGACUUUACCAGUUGAAAAACCUGUAUGCUAGCCAGGUGAACCGGUGCAAAGACAGAGCGGUAAAGAAGGUAACGAUGAAACUGAAAUAAAGAACAGAAGCCAGAAUGGGAAAGCAGCUUCUAAGGAGACUAAAAGGACCACACCUAGAGGGAAGAAUAAAAUUGUAAAAGACAUGGUACUCAGAAGAAGGAAAAGGGGGAGUUUCGGAAAGAUCUAUUCUAGACCAAGAAGCAAGGAUCAAAUGGAUUCCGUGGAUUGGGAGGCAGUAAGACAAGCAGAAACUAGUGAAAUUGCAAGCAUCAUCGAAGCACGUGGUCAGCAAACUAUUAUAGCAGGGAGCAUCAAGGGAUUUUUAAAUAGAGUUGUUGAGAUGCAUAAAAGCAUAGAUCUGGAAUGGUUACGAUAUGCUCCACCUGAUGAUGUGAAGUCCUGAUAUAGAUAUCUUUUACAAGAUGCCCAACAAGUGAUUCGGCAUGACUUGCCUACGUUGUCAUCUACUUGUAGGGAUUACCUGUUGGAGUUCACGGGAUUGGGCUUGAAAAGCGUGGAAUGUGUACGACUUCUGUCUCUUCAACAUGUUGCCUUUCCAGUUGAUAUAAAUGUUGCUUGGAUAGUUUUUCGUUUAGGUUGGGCCCCCCUGAAACCUCUCCCUGGAAGCCUUCAGUUCCACCUUAUAGAAGAGUUCCCGAUAUUGGAUAACAUUCAGAAAUAUCUCUGGCCCAGACUAUGCGUGCUUGACCAUAGAACACUGUAAUCCUGAUCACUCUUUCCGUUUUAACUAUUUGUCUCAAAUUUGUUUCAUCAUAACCAAGAAACAAUUGCUGACUCCAUAUAUUAUCCAAGGCAGCUAUGAGCUGCACUAUCAUAUGAUAACCUUUGGAAAGCCUAGUGGAACUUCUAGUUCAUUUGGAAACAAUUGUGUUGUUACAAAUCCAAUGCCAGUUACCAUUUUAGAUGGCAUCAGGACUACAGAAUCUGGUCCAAACGGUCACACUUGCAAACCCAUAGUUGAAGAGCCAAAAUCACCACUACAUGAACAAGAUAUUGAAGAUUUUCGUGGGAUGAAUGUAUUGAAGAUGAAGAAAUCCCCACUAUCAAACUCAAUCAUGAAGAGUUCAAUCCAAAUGGGCAAAGACUCCAUAGUCCAUACAGCAGUUAUACGUCACAAGCUUUAGUUUCUGUGGGUACUACUCCAUUGCCAGCACCAAAAAUGAAGUGUGUGAUCUCUUGGCGGACUGAACAUCAAGUGUAUGAACUUCCAGAUAAUCAUGAGCUUCUGGUUUGGGUAAGUUAUAGCUCCCUGUCACUUCUUUGUGAUGUAAUAAAUUGUGUCGGCUUACUUAAACUCGAUUUCUGACUGACUUGUCUGAACAGCUCGACAAAAGAGAAAAGGAUGAUUCAGUACCCUUCCUUCUCUCUAUAUGGCAAGCAGGUACACUUUUAAUAAGAUGAGAUAUAAUUCUGAAAGAUAGGUCAAUGAAUCCAAGUAGUUCAACAAUAUAUUUAAAAGUUCAAGAAAAUCAUGGAUUUAAUUCACACUUCUUGGUUCAUUUUUGCUAAAUGAUAAUUCAUCAAACCUGACUUAAUGCCUUAUGCCAGGUGAAACUCCAAAUUCAAGCCAGCCACCUGUGAAAUUAUGCAACUCACAAGGAUCACAACUCUGUGAUCAGAGAACAUGUUUUGCUUGUGAAGGUAUUUGAGAACAAAAGGCUGGUAUGGUUCGUGGAACAAUUUUGGCAAGUAAAAACUGUGUCAAUGUGCAUGUUCUUAUUCUCAGAAAGUAGAAGAUUAUGUUAUAAACUAAAGCAAAAUAACACAUGCGCAGAUACCAUGCAGGAUAGCUAUGAAAGGAAGCUUUCCACUCAAUGGCACAUAUUUUCAAGUUAAUGAGGUGAGUAGACCCAAAGAAAAAAAAGGAAAGAAAGAGUUCCAGUUGCUGGAAUUUGAAGCCAUCAGCUAGCCUCUAAUAUAUAAGAGGUUCGAGCAUUCGAGCGCGAAACAGGUUCUCCGAAACGUCUUACAAAGAGAUUCCACUGUGCACUAAGCAGGAUGGAGAAGAACGGAAGGAAAAGAGGUGGUGCUGAAACAGAGGACGCUAAAGCCAUCACUCUAAUGCCUGCCUUAUAGCGUGAACCAUUAAUUUGUGUUGGUUCUCUGAGCCUAAUUCUUGAACAUGUUGUCUUUAUGCAACAUAAACUAGAGUCAUUAGUACUGCUAAUCCGAAGUCUGUAUUAUCGGAGAAAUCAAAAUAUUUUACCCCAAUUCUCUACAACUCAUGAUCAAAAUGAUGGUGCU